rnacentral:lncRNA from 1 species
CCUUGUGAGGAGUCUUGGGGACCUUUCUGGAAGGCUUAGGCGGCGUCGAACCUUCGUUACUACUUCCACUGUCCUGCCUCAGAAUCGACGGCGAGUACGGAGAAUUAGGCCCACCGGAAUGAUCCUUCUUAAAUCUAAGCAUAUUUGGACUUCCCAAACCACCUGCAGGGGAAGAAGAGGCGAAAUCAGAUCCGAAAAGCUCACACUUCAGUAAUCUAGCAUAAGUACUAUCACUCCCUCCUCCUCCUUCUUUAACAGGGGAACCAGACGACGGUGUAUCCAGAAGCCCGAAGGCGUGCAGCCUGGAAGCCGAUCGGCAAGUUAUAACCUAUGCGCCGCAAGUGGAGGACUUGGACGACGGGGACGAGAGGCUGGCGAUCUCCCGCGGGGAGGACACCGAGACGACUCGAAACGCAGGGGAGGAAGGAGAUGGAGAUUUCUUGGAGAUGGUUUCGAGGCGGAGGGAGGUCUGGUUCAUCCCAGCUGGGAGGUUGAGCCCGCUGCUCUUCCUUCACGAUGGCGUUUCCAUUUUAUCUACAACUGGUAAAUUUACAUAUAGAGAGACCAAAGUGAACUCUAGUUUGGCAGAGAUUGAUCAUCAUCGAAUGUGAGUCCGUCCCAGCGACCAAAGGCCUGUAUCCUUAACCGGCGCCUGUAACAGUAAUUAACAAAUCGUAACAUGUUAAUCUUAUGAAAAUUGUCAUCAUUAGCUUCAGAACAAAGUUUUUUCUUGUAUAUGCAAUCUUACAGGUGCUUUCAUGGAUGGGAAGACAUUCCAGAACCGCAGAGUUUCGUCUCCUGCUCCAGUUACUAUGGUCUGCAAAACAACACCCCAUAUAAUUUUAACAAAAAUGCACAAAAGUUUUCGAAUUUACGAAAUCGAACACAACCCAUAAUCCAAUUACCUGGCCAUCAGGCGACAUGGCGAGGUACAGAACCCGCAAACUGUGUCCAGUCAGAGUUGCAACCUAUACCCAGAAAAGAAAAUAUACACUUAACCAGACUACUAAAGAUAUUUAUGGCAGUGUUUGUUUAGGCAAGAAAAUCAGUUGAUCAGACCUUUGAUAAAGACGGAUACUUCCACACCAUAAUUUGGUUCUGGGAAUACCCAUGAGUGCUCACCAACUCAUUCACGUUCUUGCUCCACCCAAGAUUGCAUACCUGCAACCACCAAUACUCAUUUAGAACUGACAGAUUGAAAUUUCAGGCCACAAAAGUAGAAAUUAUAUCGAAGGGGACGAACCUGGCUACCGGUAUCGAUAUGGUUUAACUGGUGACCGCUGGUGGUGUUCCAGAAGCGAAUGCAUCUGUCUGCAGUUCCUCCUCCAGAUGCAAGGAGACCACUCUGGUGAGGUGACCAUGCAAUCGCCUUCACUGCAGCUGUGUGCUCUGUCAGCUUCAGAAUCGGCUGCUGCGAGUGCUGGUUCCAUACUAGGAGCUAAAGAAGUAGACAAGUUAAUGACCCAGUUUACUAUGUGCAUUCAGGAUAAAUAAUCAUUCUGAAUCGGAAUCGCAAGCUACCUGGUUGUCAUUUCCACCAGAUGCAAGCUCUCUGUCAUCAUGAGACCAUUUUAAGCCGCACACCUGCCAAAAAGAUGAAGUCCCAAAUCAGUAAAACUUAUUUCUAGUCCAUGAAACUGUGGAAUGUGUAGACCAAGUUGGAUAGAGCUAACGCACCUCAGAUUUAUGGCCAACAAGCUUGCUAACAUAGUCUCCGGGGACACGAAGAUCAUGCUGAAGUAUGUUCCUAUCCCUGCUUCCUGAUGCCAGAACCCGAGAAUUCCAUGCUAGAACACCAGUCCUAGUCUGAUGCCCACCCAUUGUCCUCACUCUCUUGCACUGAGUUCCAUCCCACACCUGUCAUUACACCAAAUUUCACAAAUUUUUACUCUUUUGAUAAUCUCAGCUACUGAAUAUCGAACUGAUCGCGAAUAUAACAAUGAAAGUACCUGUACUUGCCCAAAAUGGGUGCCAACUGAUAUAUAGGACCCUUCCUUGGUCCAUUGAACUGAACACACACUGUCAUUAGGUCCUAAAUCACACAACUUGGUCACCUAAUAACACAAAAACAAACAAUUUCUACUUCAAUUCUGAAAACCACACUACAAAUUUUACAGUUCAAGUCGGCUGAAGAUUCAUACAGUGGCAAAAUUAAGCUUACUUUGCUGUUUGAUGCGGACCAUAAAUAAACACAAGUUCCCAACCCAACUGCAAGAACGUUCUGAGAGGACCAAUCCACCACGUUCAGAUAGAAGUCAUCUUGCAAAGAUGGUGCAUCCAAAACCUGCAUCAACACAACUAAAAAAAUUCAAACCCUUAACCCCUAAAAAUAUCUCUAAAGUUACAAACUGAGACAAAUUGAAGUACUUUCCCCCUCACCUUGUGAGGAGUCUUGGGGACCUUUCUGGAAGGCUUAGGCGGCGUCGAACCUUCGUUACUACUUCCACUGUCCUGCCUCAGAAUCGACGGCGAGUACGGAGAAUUAGGCCCACCGGAAUGAUCCUUCUUAAAUCUAAGCAUAUUUGGACUUCCCAAACCACCUGCAGGGGAAGAAGAGGCGAAAUCAGAUCCGAAAAGCUCACACUUCAGUAAUCUAGCAUAAGUACUAUCACUCCCUCCUCCUCCUUCUUUAACAGGGGAACCAGACGACGGUGUAUCCAGAAGCCCGAAGGCGUGCAGCCUGGAAGCCGAUCGGCAAGGUAUGAACCGAUCGCCGCAAGUGGAGGACUUGGACGACGGGGACGAGAGGCUGGCGAUCUCCCGCGGGGAGGACACCGAGACGACUCGAAACGCAGGGGAGGAAGGAGAUGGAGAUUUCUUGGAGAUGGUUUCGAGGCGGAGGGAGGUCUGGUUCAUCCCAGCUGGGAGGUUGAGCCCGCUGCUCUUCCUUCUCGAUGGCGUUUCCAUUUUUGCUUUUUCUGAUUUGCGAUUAGGAGGAAGAAUCGAGAUUGAAUCGUGAGAAAAAUGGGAAGUGAUAUCGCCUCUCUGUGUGGAGAAGCAGAGAGGGAUUUCUUCUUCUUUCCGGUGGAAAUUUGCAGAGAAUGGCGUGGGAAAUGGAUUUUGCAACGGUCGAAUUUGGAGUGAAGAUGUAGGAAGGAGCGGGCGGGUCGGAUUU